rnacentral:rRNA from 1 species
AUGAGGUUGGCGCUCUUCUUCAACCGGCUCACCGGCACGAUCCCUCUGGAGAUCGGCAACAUGACGGCGUUGCAAGUCUUGGACCUCAACACCAACAGUUUGGAAGGUGAGCUGCCCGGUACCAUCACAUCGCUCAGGAAUCUCCAAUACCUCGCCCUGUUUGACAACUACUUCAAUGGCACCAUACCGCCGGACCUUGGGAAGGGGCUAAGCUUAACCGAUGUGAGUUUCGCGAACAACAGUUUCUCUGGUGAGCUGCCGCAGAGACUGUGUGAUGGCUUAGCGCUGCAGAACUUCACGGCAAACCACAACAACUUCAGUGGCAGUCUGCCAUCAUGCCUCAAGAAUUGCACAGGGCUGUUCCAGGUGCGGCUGGAAGGCAACCAAUUCACCGGCGACAUCUCUGAGGUGUUCGGCGUCCAUCCCAGCUUGGACUACUUGGAUGUAUCAGGGAAUCAGCUGACUGGGAAGUUGUCGUCUGACUGGUCACAGUGCCCCAAUCUUACACGCUUAGGCAUGAACGGUAAUCGAAUAUCUGGCAAUAUCCAUGCAACCUUCUGCCGAUUGACCUCUCUCCAGUCUCUGGAUCUAUCAAAUAACCAGUUCACCGGGGAGCUCCCAAGUUGUUGGUGGGAAUUCAAACUUAUGAUUGUUAUGGAUUUGUCCAACAACGGCUUUUCGGGUGAACUUCCUAUGUCAACAAGCUUGGCCCUUGAACUCCAGUCACUUCGUCUUGCUAACAAUAGCUUUCUUGGAGUUUUUCCAUCUAUAAUUGAAACCUGCAGAAAUCUCGUCAUCCUAGAUCUUGGGAACAACAAGUUCUUCGGUGAUAUCCCCUCUUGGGUUGGAAGGAGUGUUCCUCUUCUAACAGUUCUGAGCCUCCCAUCCAACAAUUUCAGUGGUGUUGUUCCACCCGAGUUAUCCAAACUUUCUUAUCUGCAAGUACUGGACCUGUCCAGCAACUCCUUCUCAGGUGAGAUCCUCACGGCCAUGCCAAACCACAAUUGCUCUCUCGAGUCGUUUCAUCUCGCCGGCAAUGGCUUCGUGGGCGUCUUCCCACCGUUCCUACGAGGCUGCAACUCCCUGGCCACCCUGGACAUCGGGAACAACCGGUUCUUUGGUGGUAUCCCCACAUGGAUCGGGAGUCAGCUUCCAUCACUGAAAAUCCUUAGACUCACAUCAAACAAUUUCACAGGAGAAAUCCCCACGGAGUUAUCAAGGCUUUCACAACUUCAGCUGCUUGAUUUGGCCAACAAUAGCUUGAUAGGAUCAAUUCCGGUUGCCUUUGGCAACUUGACCUCCAUGAGGCAUAAUGUUCCCCCAUUGGUCCGACCGAGGACAGUUUCCUUUCCAGCCAGAGUCAACAUAUCAUGGAAGGGCCAUGAGCAAACUUUUCAGAAAAGCAUCGGGUUAAUAACAGGUAUUGAUCUAUCAAGCAACCAACUUACAGAGAGCAUCCCUGAAGAGCUAACAUACCUCAAAGGUCUCCGGUUUCUGAACUUGUCCAGAAAUGAUCUAUCAGGCAGUAUUCCAGAAAAAAUCGGAAGGUUGGAGCUCCUGGAUUUCCUUGACCUCUCAUGCAAUGAACUCUCAGGCACUAUUCCUCCUAGCAUUUCAAAUCUGCGGUCCCUCGGUGUGCUAAACCUCUCUAACAACCACUUAUGGGGCCGCAUACCCACUGGAGAUCAGUUACAGACGCUCGUCGAUCCAUCGAUUUAUGGCAGUAAUCCAGGGCUCUGUGGCUUCCCGUUGUUGAACGUGUGUGAGCCUACAUUGGACCAGGGAGCUGAAGUCCGCAAAGAAAUCGGAGACCUGGGGCUAUGGUACUCUGUAAUUCUUGGCAUUGUUUUCGGUUUUUGGCUUUGGUUUGGAGCUCUGUUCUUCCUCGAGCCAUGGAGAUUUUCCUUUCUCUGUUUUGUUGAUGGCUUAGGUAGUAAGAUAGAUGCCAGGCUUUAUUAUGCUCAUAUGUGGUAA